UCCGAAAUGGUGUAACGGUCAACAUCGCCGUCUUUCAUCGGGCGAAGAUGCCCAUCAGACGAUAUCACGGCAGCUCGGGGUUCGAUUCCCCGUUUCGGAG